rnacentral:rRNA from 1 species
GACGAACGCUGGCGGCGUGCUUAACACAUGCAAGUCGAACGAGACGAUUGAAAGCUUGCUUUUAAAAGUUGAGUGGCAAACGGGUGAGUAACGCGUAGACAACCUGCCUUUGAGAUGGGGACAACAGUUCGAAAGGACUGCUAAUACCGAAUGUUGUAUAUUUUCCACAUGGAAGAUAUAUUAAAGAUGGCCUCUAUUUAUAAGCUAUCGCUCAACGAUGGGUCUGCGUCUGAUUAGCUAGUUGGUGGGGUAACGGCCUACCAAGGCGACGAUCAGGAGCCGGUCUGAGAGGAUGAACGGCCAAAUUGGGACUGAGACACGGCCCAGACUCCUACGUGAGGCAGCAGUGGGGAAUCUUCCACAAUGGACGAAAGUCUGAUGGAGCAACGCCGCGUGAGUGAAGAAGGGUUUCGGCUCGUAAAGCUCUGUUGUCGGGGACGAAUGUGCAGUAUUUGAAUAAAGUACUGCAAUGACGGUACCUGACGAGGAAGCCACGGCUAACUACGUGCCAGCCGCCGCUGUAA